UACAGAGGUCCCAAGCGUUGUUCGGAUUCACUGGGCGUAAAGGGUGCGUAGGCGGUGGGAUAAGUCUGGUGUGAAAGCUCGGAGCUCAACUCCGAAAUUGCAUUGGAAACUAUCUCGCUAGAGGAUUGGAGGGGAGACUGGAAUUCUCAGUGUAGCAGUGAAAUGCGUAGAUAUUGAGAGGAACACCAGUGGCGAAGGCGAGUCUCUGGACAAUUCCUGACGCUGAGGCACGAAAGCCGGGGGAGCAAACAGG
rnacentral:rRNA from 1 species